rnacentral:rRNA from 1 species
AUGGCGGCGAGCAAGGGAGCAAGGAAGAGCCUGGUGUCGAGGACCCUGGAGCGGUGCAGGUCCGGGCUGAACAGCGGCGGCAAGUCGUCGGCGGCGGUGGCGCCGGGGUGCUUCUCGGUGUACGUGGGCCCGGAGCGGGAGCGGUUCGUGGUGCGCGCCGACCGCGCCAACCACCCGCUCUUCCGCCGCCUCCUCGACGACGCAGAGCAGGAGUACGGCUACGCGGCGCAGGGGCCGCUCGCGCUGCCCUGCUCCGUCGACGCCUUCCUCGACGUGCUCUGGCACAUGGACCACGACGUCCAGGACGACGACGAUGGCGAGGCCGCCGUGGCCCCGUCGACGCCCAUAUGCGGCCUGCAGGGCGCCGGCAGCGGGAACAUCAAGGAGGUGAGCUCUAGGCGCGCAGAGAUUUCAACAAGUGACCACCCGCUCUUCCGCCGCCUCCUCGACGACGCCGAGCAGGAGUACGGCUACGCGGCGCAGGGGCCCCUCACGCUGCCCUGCUCCGUCGACGCCUUCCUCGACGUGCUCUGGCACAUGGACCACGACGUCCACGAUGACGACGACGGCGAGGUCGCCUCGGCGCCGACGACGCCGAUUUGCGGCCUACAGCGCGGCGGCAGCGGGAACAUCAAGGUCCGGCCUGCGGGGUACCGGGUGCUCAGCCCGGCCAAGUCCACGCCGGCGUCCUUCUUCUUCUCGCAGACGGCGGCUGGCGGUAGGUGGUGA